UGGGGAAUAUUGCACAAUGGGGGAAACCCUGAUGCAGCGACGCCGCGUGAGCGAUGAAGGCUUUCGAGUCGUAAAGCUCUGUCCUAUGGGAAGAUAAUGACGGUACCAUAGAAGAAAGCCCCGGCUAAUUACGUGCCAGCAGCCGCGGUAAUACGUAAGGGGCGAGCGUUGUCCGGAAUUAUUGGGCGUAAAGAGUGCGUAGGCGGCAAAUUAAGUCAGAUGUGAAAACUAAGGGCUCAACCCAUAGAUUGCAUCUGAAACUGAUAUGCUUGAGUCAAGGAGAGGAAAGUGGAAUUACUAGUGUAGCGGUGGAAUGCGUAGAGAUUAGGAGGAACACCGGUGGCGAAAGCGGCUUUUUGGCAUGCAAAUGACACUGAGGCGCGAAAGCGUGGGGAGCAAACAGG
rnacentral:rRNA from 1 species